CCGCUGGGGCUGUCGUGGUGGGCGUCUGGGGCUGGCCUGAGGCUGCUGGAAAGCCUGCUGGUGUCUGAGGCAAAGACGGGCUUAGACGUGUGUGCGUGCGGGUAAUGGUAGUGUUACUGACCAGGGCUCUUGGACUCCUUAACCAGUAGGAACUGAGAAGAAGCCAGAGGAGGAAUCCAGGCAAGGCUUUGUGGGGGCCCCCGCUGCAGCUCGGGGAGGGACACCUGUUUGAUCCCUCAUCUGGGAAGAUCCCGCAUGCCGUGGGGCAGUGAAGCCCGCGAGCUGCAACUCCUGAGCGCCUGCAGCCUAGAGCCCAGACUCUGCAACAGAGACGCUGCCACGAUUCCUUGACCAGAGAUCGAACCGAUGCCCCAUGCAUUUGGAAGCAUGACGUCUUAGGCCCUGGAACCUCAGGGAAGUCCCAGGGACGUUCCCACGUUUGGAGUUCCCAUGGCACUUAGUCCAGAAAGGUGCUGGUGUGGAUGAG